AACCAUAGAAACCUGCGGAGUACCUGCGGAAGGAUCAUUAUAGUAUAUGGAAUCUCCAUUCUAUAAACCCACUCUGCGUAUCUUGUAACUGUUGCUUCCAUGGACUUGGUUCCGCCACACCGGCUUCACGGCUGGUGAGCGCCCAUGGAAGGAGAAACAAAACUCUUCUUUGAAAUGUAGUCAGUCUGAACAAGUUUUUAUAAACGUUAAAACUUUCAACAAUGGAUCUCAGAUCGGAAG
rnacentral:misc_RNA from 1 species